UGAAAGAUGCCAGGCAGCAGAGAA
rnacentral:piRNA from 2 species